rnacentral:tRNA from 1 species
GGGCGCUUAGCUCAGUUGGUAGAGCAGCUGACUCUUAAUCAGCGGGUCGAAGGUUCGAUUCCUUCAGCGCCCACCA